UCGAGAUUCAAUUUAUAUGAGCAUGCUGGGUGUUUCUAUGCAGUCAUCUAAAAACGGGUCGAAUUUGUCGAGAAACCACACCAAUAUGUUUACAACGGGGACCGUGCGAUCUUUCCUUAAGCGAGACAUCUAACUCGCCUGGUGACAAAAGGGUCUUAUUCUACAAACAGUAACGUGAAAACAUGCUGCGGUCGCUUUGGUAAAGUUGUCUAAUCAAUGACAGGAGCCGGGAGGCUAGCGAAACUCAACCAAUGGACCAGGAUUACAGGUUUCUUUGCCGGGGAAAGAAAGAUUUUGGGCUGCGGGGCUUCAGCCAGUUACAACCAUAUACGAUUGUUUGGCAACGAAGCAGCAGCGUUGGCUUCUCCGAGACCGCUCGGAGAGCAGCGGGUCCGGGGGGGGGGGAAACCGUACAACUACCCCUAAAUGACAGCUCUCACUCCCAUGCUGGUGCCUGAAGUGUUCCCCAACGUGCCACUGAUCUCCGUCACUAGGAACCUGGUUUUCCCAAGGUUCAUCAAGAUUACCGAGGUGAAUAACAAACAGCUUAUGGAUCUUCUGAGGAGGAAAGGCCAACUGGCCCAACCAUACGCUGGAGUGUUCCUGAAGAAAGAUGAUGCUAAUGACUGAUGUGGUGGAGAGUCGUCUAGAUGCCAUCUACAACACAGGAACCUUUGUACAGAUCCAUGAGAUGCAGGACCUUGGUGACAAGCUGAGGAUGAUAGUCAUGGGCCAUCAAAGAAUCUGCAUCAUCAAGCAGAUGGAGCCGGAUGAGCCUGCCACUGCUGCCUCUGAGCCUGCGUCUGACACUGAACCAGGGAGCCAGCCCUAGGCCCCACACCGGAAGGCCAAGAGAUAAGAGCGUAAAGAGCCAGCCACCCUGGCUAAAACCAUGGAUGAGAAGGAGCAGACCUGAUCGUAGAGUCACUCCCUCUGCCCUCCAAGGAUAUCCUUAUGGCUUAUCUCUCCUGGCUCUGUUCCAAUAUAUUCUCACAACUACACCACCUAGAUACAGUGGUUGCUCCACUAAAUGCUGUGGUACUUAGAGGUAAUUUGUGGUUUAGUACGGUACCCUGCCUCACUACUUCAUUGCUCCAGACCAGCGCAAGGGGGAGUUGGAGCACUGAUUAUGCUUUUGGGUCCUACUGUGUCUCUAACUGAUGAUGAAUGGGUGACAUAAACCUAAAUAGAAACUGAUAAAUGUGCACGACUUUAGUAUUACCUACUAAAACUGUUGUUACACUAAAGUUUUUAUUAUUUUAUUUUGUUAGGAUUAUUUUGCUCUUACUGUAGUACUGUAGCCCACUCCCGACCAGUCACGCUGUACAGAGCAUGAGUAGCGCAACGGUCUAAGACACUGCAUAGCAAUGGAAGCUGUGUUGCUACAACAUUUAAGUCAUUUAGCAGACGCUCUUAUCCAGAGCGACUUACAAAUUGGUGCAUUCACCUUAUGACAUCCAGUGGAGCAGCCACUUUACAAUAGUGCAUCUAAAUCUUUUAAGGG